rfam:Oryza nivara chromosome 7, whole genome shotgun sequence.
AAAAAAAACAAACCCUGGUUUCCGUGUCCAAUGCUUGACCGUUCGUCUUAUUUGAAAAAAUUAUAAAAAAAUUUAAAAGAUAUGUCACGCAUAAAAUAUUAUCAUCUAACAAUAAUGAAAAUACUAAUUAUAAAAAAAUUUCAUAUAAAACGGACAGUCAAACGUUGGCACGGGAAACCCACGGUCCUGCUUCGA